GGCGGACCCAGGGCCACGUCGGCUGACUCGAACUCCGGGGUCGUCGUGGGGUCUCCGGGCUUCAUUCCGGACCCAAAGCAACCAUACCCACCAGGGUUCCAGUCAAGUGGCACUGAAGGAGAGCCAGUGGAGGGAGAGACCAUCUCUCAGGGGCACUGCCUUCUUGCUGCACCAUUGCCCUCAGCCCCUCCUCACCACCUCUGUUCAAAAAUAACGCUGCCCAGCUGAAGGCUCUGAUCACAGAAGUGCAGACUCUCGGCACUGGUGGAGGUACCCUUUGCAUCCUGGGAGGCUUGAAAUGGGGUUGGGAUUCAGACAUUUUUACACCCCACUUCUGAUCCUUCCAAGGACCACCGACUCACGUUGGGGGCGAUGGCGCCAGUCAGUGCACACUCUGCGAGACAAACCGGUAGUUGACACAUGGGUGGGGGGCCUUAGAGGACCUUAUGAUUUCACUGUCAUGGCAAGUAGGAUACCUACAGUGGGGGAGCUGAGGGUUUGGGAGAGGGCAGCUGUGGCCCCCAUUAAAGAUGGUAUUUGGGGAGGAGUGCCUUCAGGUGAGUUAGGAGCUGUACCAGGAGUACUAAAGCAAGGCCACCUGGUUCUUUUUCUCCGGCUAGUCCAAGGGCCAGGAAAGCCUGAGUAGGGAGGGCUGGGCUUCCCACCCCGGCUCCUCCACUUCCCAGGCGUGGGAGGAAGGGUUUGGUCUAUGAGCUGGAAUACUGGAGAAGCCAACAGUGCGGUGUGCAGGAAGGCUCAGAUUCUUGAACACCCUUUAAGAGUCAUGCUGAAAGUGUGAUGCAGGGCACCACCUGGCAUCAUGAGGAUGGGCAUCUGGCCAGCAGGCAGCAGUGCCCAGGUUCUGCUCCAGGUGCCCUCACCCCCCGCCCCACCCAGGUCAGCCAAAGCCUCUCCAAGGUGCCAGAGAGGUGGCGGCAGCUCAGGUGGUGCAUGCGGGCCAGCGGCAGCCUCCACCGUUGAUGGGUGUUGGCCAGGGAGAGGCAGGUAUGUGAGAGAUCCUGAAGUGGACACCAGGAGUAUAUUCAAGGUCAUAGCCUCCAGUGUGGCCUCGACAUAUGCGCCAUGGAGAAGUGGCAGGGACACAAAACACAUCUGCAGGCCUUUCCCCUUCCUAGUUUUGGUGCUGCCUUGAGGAGCAGGGCACCCAUGGGGGCCACGUACCUGCUGUGCUCCUGCCUGCAGCCUUACUCCCCAGGUUUGAUUUGAAGCUACCCACAGGAGGGUCUCUUCAUAUCUGCUCCUUCCCGCUCCCCACCAACCAGUCCACCUUGGAGCGCCCCAGUCCUUGUGAAAUCACAGCCGCUGUCACAGAGACCAGCUCCAGACUGCCUUGUGUCAUUGAACCGCUAAGUGCUGGGUAAAGAUAAAGCAGGAAGCAGCAGGGAUCGGAGCAGCUGGGCCCUGGGCAAGCAAACGUGGUCGAGUGGGUUGGUAAUCAAUGCCAGGUGAUUUAGCCUGCUGGGUACCAGGAAAAGCCUGGAGCCAAACGACUGACUUAAUCAGUUGCCCUGGCAACAACAUUGCCCUUGGCUCUACCCAGACAAGAUUGAUUUGAGCCUGUUGCCCUGGUAACUCGUGUUGCUCCCCCGGGACAGGAAGUAACAGAACUUCAGCUCUGUUGGGUGAGAACACCUCCCCCAACCUGAGGGGGUCCACCUGUGCAUCCCGCUGCCAGGCGCAGGGCAGCAGUGGGAUGGGCUCUCCACAUUCUAAGUGCCUAUGGAAGAUUCCUGUUACCAAAGGGGAGCCCCCAGGGAGGAGGCUGGGGCACUAGGGCCAGGCUCUUCCCGUGUGCCCCCCUCUCCUCCGUCCAGGUUCUCACUCCUCUGGAGGGGGAUGCAGGGACAGCGCCACCCCCUUCCUCCAUUGGAGAGCUUGACAAAGGUCCUGGGCACUGGCUCCUGCUUCCUCACCUGCAGAGGCAGCCGCCGGUGACCUGCUGAAGGCUGGGGUCAAGCCAGAGGACUGUUGCCUGCAGAGCACUGCCACAGCAUUGGCCAGGGGGACAUAAGCACUCGGUCAGAAGCCUGGUGGCAGUCUGGAGUCCCCAAUUUCCUCUUGGCCUUAGAUCCCCUCCCUGGGUCUCUACACGCAAGACUCACCUCCAAAGGAGAGCCCUGUGCUGC